rnacentral:rRNA from 1 species
UACAGAGGGUGCGAGCGUUAAUCGGAUUUACUGGGCGUAAAGGGCGCGUAGGUGGUGAGGUAAGUAAGUUGUGAAAUCCCUGGGCUUAACCUGGGAAUGGCAUUUGGGACUGCAAGGCUUGAGUGCGGCAGAGGAGACUGGAAUUCCUGGUGUAGCAGUGAAAUGCGUAGAUAUCAGGAGGAAUACCGAUGGCGAAGGCAGGUCUCUGGGCUGACACUGACGCUCAUGCACGAAAGCGUGGGGAGCAAACAGG